rnacentral:rRNA from 1 species
UACGUAGGGUCCGAGCGUUGUCCGGAAUUAUUGGGCGUAAAGAGCUCGUAGGCGGUCUGUUGCGUCGGCUGUGAAAACCCGGGGCUCAACUCCGGGCCUGCAGUCGAUACGGGCAGACUAGAGUUCGGUAGGGGAGACUGGAAUUCCUGGUGUAGCGGUGAAAUGCGCAGAUAUCAGGAGGAACACCGGUGGCGAAGGCGGGUCUCUGGGCCGAAACUGACGCUGAGGAGCGAAAGCGUGGGGAGCGAACAGG